rnacentral:rRNA from 2 species
AGAGUUGAUCCUGGCUCAGGAUAAACGCUGGCGGCGCACAUAAGACAUGCAAGUCGAACGGAAGCGUUUUAGUGAUUCAGAUAUGAAAGAUUUAUCCGGAUUUGAAGAUGAUCUAAAACAAUGGUUUAGUGGCGGACUGGUGAGUAACACGUAAGCAACCUGCCUGUUAGAGGGGAAUAACAGCAGAAAUCGUUGCUAAUACCGCAUAUGCCAUAGGAACCACAUGGUUCUAGUGGGAAAGGAGAAUCCGCUAACAGAUGGGCUUGCGUCUGAUUAGAUAGUUGGUGGGGUAACGGCCUACCAAUCGACGAUCAGUAGCCGGACUGAGAGGUUCAACGGCCACAUUGGGACUGAGAUACGGCCCGACUCCUACGGGAGGCAGCAGUCGGGAAUAUUGCGCAAUGGAGGAAACUCUGACGCAGUGCGCCGCGUAUAGGAAGAAGGUUUUCGGAUUGUAAACUAUUGUCUGCAGGGAAGAAACAAGCUGUACCUGCAAAGAAAGCUCCGGCUAACUACGUGCCAGCAGCCGCGGUAAUACGUAGGGGCAAGCGUUAUCCGGAUUUAUUGGGUGUAAAGGGUGCGUAGACGGGAAAUUAAGUUAGUUUGAAAUCCCUCGGCUCAACCGAGGAACUGCAACUAAAACUGAUUUUCUUGAGUGCAGGAGGGAAAGUGGAAUUCCUAGUGUAGCGGUGAAAUGCGUAGAUAUUAGGAGGAACACCAGUGGGAAGGCGACUUUCUGGACUGUAACUGACGUUGAGGCACGAAAGUGUGGGGAGCAAACAGGUUAGAUACCCUGGUAGUCCACACUGUAAACGAUGGAUACUAGGUGUAGGGGGUAUUAAGCUUCUGUGCCGCCGCUAACGCAAUAGUAUCCCACCUGGGGA